rnacentral:rRNA from 1 species
GGGAAUACUACAAAGCUAGGGAGUGGGAGAGGUAGACGGUACUCGGUAGGAAGGGAUAAAAUCCUUUGAUCUAUUGAUGACCACCUGUGGCGAAGGCGGUCUACCAGAACACGUCCGACGGUGAGGGAUGAAAGCUGGGGGAGCAAACCGGAUUAGAUACCCGGGUAGUCCCAGCCGUAAACCAUGCAAACUCAGUGAUGCAUUGGCUUGUGGCCAAUGCAGUGCUGCAGGGAAGCCGUUAAGUUNGNCGCCCCNNNNAGUACGUACGCAAGUGUGAAACUUAAAGGAAUUGGCGGGGGAGCACCACAAGGGGUGAAGCCUGCGGUUCAAUUGGAGUCAACGCCAGAAAUCUUACCCGGAGAGACAGCAGAAUGAAGGUCAAGCUGAAGACUUCACCAGACAAGCUGAGAGGUGGUGCAUGGCCGUCGCCAGCUCGUGCCGUGAGAUGUCCUGUUAAGUCAGGUAACGAGCGAGAUCCCUGCCUCUAGUUGCCACCAUUACUCUCAGGAGUAGUGGGGCGAAUUAGCGGGACCGCCGUAGUUAAUGCGGAGGAAGGAAGGGGCCACGGCAGGUCAGUAUGCCCCGAAACUCUGGGGCCACACGCGGGCUGCAAUGGUAAUGACAAUGGGUCCCAAAUCCGAAAGGAGGAGGUAAUCCUCAAACAUUACCACAGUUAUGACUGAGGGCUGCAACUCGCCCUCACGAAUAUGGAAUCCCUAGUAACUGCGUGUCAUUAUCGCGCGGUGAAUACGUCCCUGCUCCUUGCACUCACCGCCCGU